GGGUCGAUGGCGUAGUUGGUUAUCGCAUCUGUCUUACAUUUGAAUUUCCACAGAAGGUCCUCAGUUCGAGCCUGGGUCGACUCA